rnacentral:rRNA from 1 species
CCCUUAGAUGCUCUGGGCCGCACGCGCGCUACACUGACGAAUGCAACGAGCUUAUAACCUUGGCCGAAAGGUCUGGGUAAUCUCCAAAUUUCGUCGUGAUGGGGAUAGAUUAUUGCAAUUAUUAAUCUUCAACGAGGAAUGCCUAGUAAGCGCAAGUCAUCAGCUUGCGUUGAUUACGUCCCUGCCCUUUGUACACACCGCCCGUCGCUCCUACCGAUUGAAUGGUCCGGUGAAGCGUUCGGACCGUGGCCUUUGGACGGUUCGCCGUCUGUUGGCUGCGGGAAGUUCGUUAAACCUUAUCAUUUAGAGGAAGGAGAAGUCGUAACA